UCCUCGGUAGAACGGCGGACUGUUAAUCCGUAUGUCACUGGUUCGAGUCCAGUCAGAGGAGCCA
rnacentral:tRNA from 1 species